AGAGUUUGAUCCUGGCUCAGGAUGAACGCUAGCGGCAGGCUUAACACAUGCAAGUCGAACGGUAACAUUGGUGCUUGCACCAGAUGACGAGUGGCGCACGGGUGCGUAACGCGUAUGCAAUCUACCUUUUACUGGAGUAUAGCCCAGAGAAAUUUGGAAUAAUCCUCCAUAAUAUCAUUUAAUCGCAUGAUUUUUUGAUUAAAGCUUCGGUGGUAAAAGAUGAGCAUGCGUUCUAUUAGCUAGUAGGUAAGGUAAUGGCUUACCUAGGCAACGAUAGAUAGGGGUCCUGAGAGGGAGAUCCCCCACACUGGUACUGAGACACGGACCAGACUCCUACGGGAGGCAGCAGUGAGGAAUAUUGGACAAUGGACGAAAGUCUGAUCCAGCCAUGCCGCGUGCAGGAUGAAUGCCUUAUGGGUUGUAAACUGCUUUUAUAUAGGAAGAAAACCCUCCACGUGUGGAGGCUUGACGGUACUAUAAGAAUAAGGAUCGGCUAACUCCGUGCCAGCAGCCGCGGUAAUACGGAGGAUCCAAGCGUUAUCCGGAAUUAUUGGGUUUAAAGGGUCCGCAGGCGGCCUAUUAAGUCAGAGGUGAAAUCCAACAGCUCAACUGUUGAACUGCCUUUGAUACUGAUAGACUUGAGUUAUUGUGAAGUGGUUAGAAUGUGUGGUGUAGCGGUGAAAUGCUUAGAUAUCACACAGAAUACCCAUUGCGAAGGCAGAUCACUAACAAUAUACUGACGCUCAUGGACGAAAGCGUGGGGAGCGAACGGGAUUAGAUACCCCGGUAGUCCACGCCGUAAACGAUGGAUACUAACUGUUCGGUUUUAGGACUGAGUGGUCAAGCGAAAGUGAUAAGUAUCCCACCUGGGGAGUACGCUCGCAAGAGUGAAACUCAAAGGAAUUGACGGGGGCCCGCACAAGCGGUGGAGCAUGUGGUUUAAUUCGAUGAUACGCGAGGAACCUUACCAGGGCUUAAAUGUAGUGGGACAGAUUUAGAGAUAAAUCUUUCUUCGGACUCAUUACAAGGUGCUGCAUGGUUGUCGUCAGCUCGUGCCGUGAGGUGUCAGGUUAAGUCCUAUAACGAGCGCAACCCCUAUUGUUAGUUGCCAGCGGGUAAUGCCGGGAACUCUAGCGAAACUGCCGGUGCAAACCGAGAGGAAGGUGGGGAUGACGUCAAAUCAUCACGGCCCUUACGUCCUGGGCUACACACGUGCUACAAUGGUCGGUACAGAGAGCAGCCACUACGCGAGUAGGAGCGAAUCUAUAAAACCGAUCUCAGUUCGGAUCGCAGUCUGCAACUCGACUGCGUGAAGCUGGAAUCGCUAGUAAUCGGAUAUCAGCCAUGAUCCGGUGAAUACGUUCCCGGGCCUUGUACACACCGCCCGUCAAGCCAUGGAAGCUGGGGGUACCUGAAGUCGGUGACCGAAAGGAGCUGCCUAGGGUAAAACUAGUGACUGGGGCUAAGUCGUAACAAGGUAGCCGUACCGGAAGGUGCGGCUGGAACACCUCCUU
rnacentral:rRNA from 1 species